rnacentral:misc_RNA from 1 species
GAUGAAGAACGCAGCGAAAUGCGAUAAGUAGUGUGAAUUGCAGAAUUCAGUGAAUCAUCGAAUCUUUGAACGCACAUUGCGCCCCUUGGUAUUCCAUGGGGCAUGCCUGUUCGAGCGUCAUUUGUACCUUCAAGCUUUGCUUGGUGUUGGGUGUUUGUCCUGAGGGACUCGCCUUAAAGUAAUUGGCAGCCAGUGUUUGGUUUUGAAGCGCAGCACAAGUCGCGAUUCAAGGCUAUCCGCCCGCUUCCACAAGCCUUUUUCACUUUUGACCUCGGAUCAGGUAGGGAUACCCGCUGAACUUAAGCAUAUCAAUAAGCGGAGGA